AGCAGCAUGGCCUAGUGGGAAGAGCACAGACUUUGGAGUCGGCGGACCUGGGUUCUAAUCCCAGUUCUGCCU
rnacentral:tRNA from 1 species